rnacentral:lncRNA from 1 species
UUAAACUAUACAUAUAUGUUGACAUGUAUGUGCGUAUAUAUGUAUAUAUGCUUGUGUAUAGAUAUUGCUAACCUCGUGUCUCUCAUACAUGUCUCUGUCUUCUGAAGAAUACCCUGGAUUUGUUUUUUCCCCUGCCUGUGUACCACCUCCUAUACUGUUUUCAAGAGCUCGCAUGCAGCUACAUACUUUCAUUAAGUGAUCUUAUUCAACCUAAUGGCUUAAAUGACUACUUUGGAGACUUCCAAGCUUACUUCAGAACACUAAAAACUCCUGACAAAUGAAAACAAUGACAAGGUGAACUGAAAAAAAGACUCCCCUCAAUGCUUGGAACAGAGAUAGUAUUUUUCUCCAACCACUUGUUUCAUUGUUUUGGACUCUACUCUGAUCUGCAAAACUUCCUGAAGAAGAAGUUGCCUGGAUCCAAGCCAUAGAUGGAGACAUGGGAGAAACCAGCAUAUAUAGAUUCAUUGCUAGACCAAACCCUUCCAUGUAACAUAAUAUUUUAAAUUAUUACUAGUAUUUCCUUCAACAGUUCUGACUUCAAAUGUCAAUGUUCUUUCUUUCAAGUAGGUUGAGAUCAAGUAUAUUUAUCAUUCAGCCUCACAAGUAGUGAUUAUUUUACUUUUCUCUUUGCCUUCACAAUUAAUCAGUAAUGAUUCUAUAGACUUUCGGUCGUACACACCUCUUGUCAAUAUAACUUUAUUGGGACAUAUUUUACAUAUCAUAUAAUUCACUUAUUUCAAGUGUACAAUCAAUACAAAAGAGUAAAUUUACCAAGUUGUGCAAUCAUCAAUAUAAAUUAGUUUUGUAUUUCCCCAAUAAGAUCCCUCAUGCCCAUGAACUUUUAAUCUUUGCUCCCUCGCUCUGCCUCAGGCAGACAAUAGUUGUCUCUCUGUCUCUAUAGAUUUGCCUUUUCUGGACAUUUCAUAUAAAUAAA